GACACCCCGACAGAGCCAGAGAGAGGGGGGAGGCACAGAGUAAGAGAGUGAGUGGAAAAAGAAAAAGUCCGGCGGAGAGAGAGAGAGAGGGAGCGAGAGACGAAAAGAGAGAGAAAGAAAAAAAAAAACGGUGGAUCCAUUUUAUUGGAGGGGGGGGGAACGCGGAUCACAUUUUCACGCCACCGCUGAUGUUUUGUUUGGGGGUCGCGACUCGAGGAUGAAGUUGAGGAGGACGGAGAAGGAGAUUCGACCACGCGACAUCGUGGCGCACAGUAACUUCGCCGUUUAGUCUGGUGAACGUGUUCCAGUCGCCGUAGCCACGUUCGUUCCCUCGCGCAUAGACGGCCCCGACUCCUCCGAACUUCGAGGCGCGCCGCCGCUGCCCUGUCGCUCGCGGGCGGAUCAUCGCGAGGCCCCGCGCGCAACUUUUCUCCUCCUCCGCCUCGCGCGGAGUGACUGACGCUCAUCGCGAAAAGUUACCGUCGACAUAUACAAGUCGAACCCACCGCUCCGCUGGACAUGGAGCAGUGACCGGAGAGAGGGUGUUGAGUACCGGGUGGGUUGAAGUGAGUUUGUCGGGGUUUUCAACGGAGAGCUUUUCGUGCCACUUUUUUGCGGGACUUUGCGAGAACAACACCGGGGACGGAGCGGGUGUUGAGCCCCGCGGCGACCUGCUGCUAGCUGCUGCUGCUAGCGACCAGGCUAGCGCCAGAAAGUUCCCCGGAUCGACGUGGAGGGACCGGCCGAGGACCGGCGCCACCCAGCUGACAUGAAGACCCCGGGAGAACCGGGGUUCGCCUUCCCGGAGUGGGCCUACAAGCCCGAGUCCAGCCCGGGCUCCAGACAGAUCCAGCUGUGGCACUUCAUCCUGGAGCUGCUGAGGAAGGAGGAGUACCACGAGGUGAUCGCCUGGCAGGGCGACUACGGGGAGUUCGUCAUCAAGGACCCCGACGAGGUGGCACGGCUGUGGGGGGCGCGCAAGUGCAAACCCCAGAUGAACUACGACAAGCUGAGCCGUGCACUGAGGUAUUACUACAACAAGAGGAUCCUCCAUAAGACCAAGGGGAAACGCUUCACCUACAAGUUCAACUUCAACAAGCUGGUCCUGGUGAACUACCCCUUCAUCGACAUGGGCUCUGGACGCGUCCCCCAGAGCGCCCCGCCCAUCACCAGCGGCGGCUCCCACUUCCGUUUCCCGCCCUCCACGCCGUCGGAGGUGCUCUCCCCCAGCGAGGACCUCCGCAGCCCGGGGGUGUUCAGCGGCGUGGCGCGGCGCAUGGCGCGGGGCUCCGUCAGCGACUGCAGCGACGGCACCUCCACCAACUCGGAGCUGGAGGAGACGGUGGGGGGGGGCGGCGGCGGGGGCGGGGCCCCCGGCGACGACCGGGGCCUGGGGGGCCCCGACCGCUCCUUCAGGGGCCUCCUGCCGCCGCGCAUGACCCACGAGUCCCUGUUCCGCAUGUACGGCUCCGGGGCGCACCUGGCCCGGCCCACCCCCCGGGUCCACUCGGAGCAGCUGUCCCCCUUCCCCGUGUCCCCGCUGCCCGGCCCCGGGGGCCACCUGGGCCCCACGCUCUCCCCGGGGCUGUCCAUGACGCCGGGCUCCCACCUGCCCUACACCCCGUCCCCCUCCAUGUCCUCCCCCAUGCUGGGCUCCCACUUCUCCUUCAACGCGGACGACAUGAAGCGCUACCUGCAGGCCCACGCCCAGUCGGUGUACAACUACCACCUGAGCCCCCGCGCCUUCCUGCACUACCCCAACAUCCUGAUCCCCCAGCCGCACCGGCCCGCGCCCCCGCCGCCGCCGCCGCCGCCGCAGCCCGCCCACGACAAGCCCCCCGCCCACCACCUGCUGCACGCCCCCCCGCCGCCCAUGCACCUCUCCCAUUCGCUGGCGGGGUCCCUGGGGGCGGGGCUGGACGACCAGCAGCACCCCUCCCCCUUCAAGUUCAAGCUGCAGCCGCCGCCGCUCGGACGCAAGCAGCGGGACGGGGGCUGCUCCUCCUCCUCCUCUUCCUCCUCCUCCUCCGCCCACGGCCAAUCGGCGGCCUCCGCGGGCUCCGGCAUGCACUCUAACCACGCUGCCAUGGCGACGCCCAAGAUCAAGGUGGAGCCCAUCUCCGACAACGAGUCCGAGGAGGUGGAGGUGACCGACAUCAGCGAGGAGGACGAGCAGAUGAAUCACCACGGCGACGACGACGACGACGACUACGGCGACGACGACGAGGGCGACGUGUUCACCCCGACCAGCCGACCCAAGCUCCUCCCCCACCACCAGCACCACCAGCACCCCCACCACCACCACGCCCUCCACCGCUACAUCCCCGGCCACCUGCAGCUCGGCAACGGGACCGCCGGCCGGCCCCCGCCUCCGCUCCAUAGCAACAAGCCGCCGCAGCAUCAGCACCACCCCCACCACCACCACCACCACCCGGAGGAGGACGACGAGGACGAGGACGUCUUCAAGACCCCGGCCACGCCCCCUCUGAGCGCGGGCCUCCCGCCCCUCCCCCUGCUGAGCCUGAAGAGCGAGCCGGGUCAGGGGUCGGCUCCCAUCAGCCCCGGCGGCACGCUGUGCAUCCCCCUCAAGCUGCGCUUCAAGCGGCGCUGGAGCGAGGACCAGAAGAUGGAGGCGGACGGCGAGAGGGAGGAGGCGGAGGACAAGAAGGUGCGGAGCGCCGAGCAGGAGGACGGGGAGGCGGCCAGAGCAGCAGCGGCGGCAGCAGCAGCAGUAGGAGGAGGGGCAGGGGGAGCGGUGGAGGGCCUGGGGGUGGCCCCGCCCACCCAGCGUCGCUCCUCCUCUGAGCUGCAGAGGGCCACCGCCCAGCUGUCCCUGGAGAACUCCGGCUGCUGAGACACGCGCGCACGGUCACGCACACGCACACACGCCCAGGCAGCGCCCCACCGACGCCUUAACGCAUGAGGACACACACCUGCGAGACCAGACCCUCAUGAGUGUGUGAACCUGUGUGUGUGUGUGUGUGUGUGUGUGUGUGGGGGGGGGUGCCUUCAGCACCUCCACACAUCCAACAUGAACACGGCAGAAUGUCUCUCUGCUUCGACCUUCUAACACUAAAGACUGAACCUCUACUCAGCCUCAAACUCACCCCGUGGGGCCCCCAUUCUGGGCCCCUGUUCUACCAAGAGCCCCCUCGAUGCGGCCCCCAGAUGUUUGAACUCGCACAACACAAGUCCAUGUUUCUCUGCAGGUUCCAGAAGAGGGCUUGGAGUCCAGCUGUGUUGGCCGGUCAGGAUGAUAAGCAUCCGGGUCCACUUACCCCUUCACCUGUCCUUAACGCGUUUCACCUGUCCUUAACGAGCUCACCUGUCCCUAACGAGUCCCUCUAAUCAACCUGCCUGAUUGGAUGUGGCUAAUCGGAGCAGCGUCCGAUCCUCCAGCAGCGUGAUGUGAUGAAAUAUAAAUGAAUUACACGAAAUGGAGGUGGGAGGCCUCUAGGCCACACCCACAAACGCCACCCCUCCCCCGACAAGAUGGAGGACGCUUCAACAACACAAUUAUAAACAGUCAAUGAAAUUGGAUCACAUGACCAGUCUGGUUCCGACAAGGCGAUCAAAGUGUCUUACUCUGAAAGGAACAAACCAAUCACAGCCUUCAAACCUAAUGACCGGAACUAGCCAAUCACAGCCUUCAAACCUAAUGACCGGAACUAGCCAAUCACAGCCUUCAAACCUAAUGACCGGAACUAGCCAAUCACAGCCUUCGAACAAGGAACUGCAUCAAGGCAGCCUCACCCCCACCCCCCCCCCCCCACCCCCCCCCCCCCCCCCACACACGUCUGGCGGACGUUAAACCAAUCAGAACAGCAGACGGUCAGUCGCUCACGGGCCAGGUAAGGCCUCUGAUUGGACACCAUGUUAGGCUUCUCCCUCCCCACGGUUCGAGGACGCUGAUUGGUAGAGAGCGCCGUACGGAACCCUGUAAUUAUGUACACUUUCUCCUUUUCAACCAAUGGGCUUUGAGAGAAUUGCGGGGGACCGGCCAAUGGGAGGGAGUCGGGAGGAGGAGCUGGGGCAUUGGUUGACUCCUCCUCCUCCUGAAGAGAAAACUGUUUAUAUAUACAAGCAGAAGUGGUGUAUCUGUAUGCGCUGUGUGUCUCAGUGUUCUCCAAGGACAGUAGUGCCUCAGAGUGAGGGAGAGAGAGAGAGAGAGAGUGAGGGAGAGAGAAGAGAGUGAGAGAGAGACAGAGAGAGAGAGAGCGAGCGACUGGCUCUGAGGGCGUUCGGAGAUCCGCUGAUCGCCCCGUUCUGUCCUCUUUUUGUCUCUAUUUUCGGCGCGUUGUGUGUGCGAUAAUGGCCCGUCUGUUGCCUCGGUCCGCCUCGGGCCCCGUCGUCGUGACGACCGGGCUGCGUGACGACGGGUGAUGUGCUCGACGACAACAAGGACCACAACAGGAAUGCCCACGACGUACGCCUCCACGAGACGUUUUAAACACACGCUCUUUUCUACGACGUUUUAUCAGUAUAGUGUAAAAGAAAUUGAUAUAAUGCGCCCAUUUUAACGAACAAAAAGACGACGAAGAAUACUGUGCCUUUUUUUAGAAAGCCCCUCCCCCUUUUAGCCAAACGACUCAGAGGACCAUCAUGCCUUCUGUUUUUAUUUAAAAAAAGAACUACAAAAUAAAAGCACAACGGACGCAUAAAUACUAUAUUUGAAUAUCUAUGGAAACGAAAAGAAAAUGCUAUAUUUCACUGCCGCCAUUUCAUACCGAUCAUGAAGAAUCCUUUCUAUUUUUGAGUGCUAUAUCUAUAUAUGUCUAGAUAUAGAUAUAGAGAGAGAGAUAUAUCUAUUUGACUGGCCGUAUUCUCAGCGGUGUUCUGCAGCCGGGUAUGACAGUAGCUCCUGUAUAUUUUCAUAGUAUUGACACAACAGGGUCCCUCGUCUCCUGGCUGUUUGUUUCCACGUCCCGGCGCGCCCAGGUGGGUGGGGCAACCGGGCAGGAGUGGUUUAAGUCGACCGCCGGUGGAAACACACAUGGAACAGCUUUCCCCCCCCCCCCCCGGCCAACGGCCGUGCUGCUGUCUGGCAGCGGCGAGUGGGGCCCCGCCCUGCUGGCCCCGCCUGGCCGGGGCGCUCCGUAGGGUAAAACAAACACGCCUUCGCUCAGGUCUGGGCGGAAAGGGGCGGGUUGUUAAAGUGUACGUCCUGGGGUAGGACGCGCGCGCGCGCACACACACACACACAGACACAGACACAGACACACACACACACACACACACCCUCCUACACACCCUCGUACACAAAGCGUGGCUUCACUGUGGCUGCCAGCGGGGACGGUGACAUCACACGUGACAUCAGACACCCCUACACACUCUCUGGUGUAGACGGCAUAACCAUAGCUACCGCACACAUCCAGACGCACACACACGCUCAGGGCAGACACACACACACCAGACACACAGAGCCGUUCUGAAAGAGGGGGAAAUGACAUCACAGAAACCACAAAAUAGACUGCAAGGGAGGGACUUCCCGGAAUCCGAAGUGCGCGUGUGUGUGUGUGUGUGUGUCUGUGAUUUAAAGGCAGCCGGCAGGCUUUUGAACCUCGUAGUUUUGUACCGUCACGUCCGAUUGUUAAAAGUUACCAGCGACGCUCUCGUUCCUCCGAAGAGAAACCCCGAGCUAACGUUAAACACCCAGCGAUGCACACACUGCCCAGACCAUUGCUGCCUUGCCAGUUGCUUGAAGCCAAUAAAAUCACUUUUGCCGUUAAAAUAUCCUCCCACAAAACUCCCCGAUGACGAUUAUUUUUUAUCCUUUUCUAGUAUUUGUUCCCCCUUCCUUCCGACUUGUAUUACUGUUACUCUUGUAAUUAUAUUAUUAACAUAACGUUUUGUUCCUUCUUGCCAAAUGCCCGCCUCUUCCUGAAGCUUCGUAUUUUCGUUCUCGGCGUCGCGCCUUUUGAGUCCCUGCAGAGGUUAACCAGCUAGUUAACCGUUAACCGGCUAGUUAGCCUUCUAGUUAGCCUAGCUAGCUAUCCAUGCUAGCCGCGUGGCUUAACCGCAACCUUUCACAACCAGCAACACAAGAGGGGUUUGAGUUAUCAACUGCUUUUUAUUUGAACAAUUCGGUUGUUUUAAUUUCCUUUUAUUUUAUUUUAUUUUUUACCUUUUUAUGUAUAUAUCUAUAACUUUCUUUCCAUUUCGGAGGGGUGUAUUCUUGUAAGAAGCGUUGAUUUAUUUUGUUUAACCUUGGUAUUUGAGCAUGUCGCCCUCCAGGAUGAAGAGAGGGGAGGAGGGGCAUGGAACAGACAUCUGUAUUUUGUUUAUCUUGUAUCUUUUCAUCUUCAUUUGUAAUUAAACAGUAAUCAGGGUACAUUAAAAAAACAGGUUAAAAUGGA